rnacentral:rRNA from 1 species
GACGAACGCUGGCGGCGUGCUUAACACAUGCAAGUCGAACGGAAAGGCCCUGCUUUUGUGGGGUGCUCGAGUGGCGAACGGGUGAGUAACAAGUGAGUAACCUGCCCUUGACUUUGGGAUAACUUCAGGAAACUGGGGCUAAUACCGGAUAGGAGCUCCUGCUGCAUGGUGGGGGUUGGAAAGUUUCGGCGGUUGGGGAUGGACUCGCGGUUUAUCAGCUUGUUGGUGGGGUAGUGGCUUACCAAGGCUUUGACGGGUGGCCGGCCUGAGAGGGUGACCGGCCACAUUGGGACUGAGAUACGGCCCAGACUCCUACGGGAGGCAGCAGUGGGGAAUAUUGCACAAUGGGCGGAAGCCUGAUGCAGCAACGCCGCGUGCGGGAGGACGGCCUUCGGGUUGUAAACCGCUUUCGCCUGUGACGAAGCGUGAGUGACGGUAAUGGGUAAAGAAGCACCGGCUAACUACGUG